CUGUUUCACAGCAAAAUUGACAGGAAGGUACAAGGCUGUCCCCUAGAAAACUCCUGGCCUUCACAUGCAUGGCCUCCCCCAGUAUCAUCCCCUAUCAGAAUGGUACAUUUGCUGCAGUGAUGAAUCUGUACUGACUCAUGGCCAUCACCCAGAGUCCAAAGUUUAUGUGAUGACGGGGAUCGAACCCAGUGCCUCACGCAUGCUAGGCAAGCUCUCUACCACUGAGAUACAGCCCAAGCCCAAAGAUUCACUCUUGAUGUUGUAUUUUAUAGAUUUAGAUGAAUAUAUGCACCACUAUGAUAUUAUACAGAGUAUUUUCACUGGCUCCCAAAUUCUCCGUGGUUUACCUACUCAUCCCUCUCUCCUCCCAACCCCUGGCAACCACUAAUCUUUUGUCCCUUUGGUUUUGUCUUUCCCAGAACAUCAAGUAGUUGAAGUCCUACAGUGUGCAACCUCUUUAGAUGGGCUUCUUUCAUCUAGUGAUCACGCCUAAGCUUCCUGUGUUCAGGUUCAGUCUGAAACCGAAGUGUCUGAGCUCCAGCAUGAACAGGCCUGUCGUGAAUAUUCUGCACAAAGGGAGGAGUACCCUACACAGCACCCUUUCACAUCUGUAAACUAAGUUGAGGGAACUUCAAUUGCCUUUUCUUUUACAGAUUAAGAAUUUGAGCCAAGCGCAGUGGCACACGCCUGUAAUCCCAGUGGCUCUGGAGGCUGAGGCAGGAGGAUCACAAAUUCAAAGCCAGCUUCAGCAAUUUAGCAAGACCCUAAACAACUCAGCAAAAUCCUCUCCCUAAAUAAAAUAUAAAAAGGGCUGGGGAUGUGGCUCAGUGACUAAGCACCCCUGGAAUCAAUCCCUGGGACCAAAAAGAGAAAAAAAAAAAAAGAAUUUGAAGCAAAACAUCAAAUGAGCGAACACUUUACAGUUUACAAAUGCCCAGAACUCAGACUGGUGGGGGGUGGGGGGCUUAACUUUUUUUUUUUUUUGUACUAGAGACUGAACCCAGGGACAUCCUCAGCCCAUUUUACUCUUUGUUUUGAGACAGGAUCUCACUAAGUUUCCCAGGCUGGCCUUGAACUUGCUGUCCUCCUGCCUCAGCCUCUGGGGUCACAGGUAUGCGCCACCAGCCCAUUCUUACUCAGUUCCUUAGGUGGGCAAUGGAGGAGGUUGCCCAUCCACCGCGAUCCCUUUAAGUGACCUGAGCAGCAUAUUUAAGCAGUGCAGGGACGAGAUUUAAAGUCACCACAAGCAUCCCCAGUCUGUCUCUGGAGUCCUUCCAGACCACCUCCUUGUUUUUCCACCCUGCUACUCCUUGUUCAUAAAUUUCUUGGUUCUCAACUCUCUUUGUUUUGGCUGCGUACCACAGUCUCUCUCCUCCACCCAUCCCUCUGCUGGAUGGUCUGCCGGCCUUGACUCGUUCUUCUGGCUUUCAGCAACCACACUGAUCCAAGUCACUGCUUUUGGUCUUUGUCCUUUGAUCCUCCACACUGCUCCCAAAGGGAAAAAGCAGCCCAUCUGUAGGAUCCACCAGAUGUGUCCCAUCUCUCACCAGGACCAUGAGGGUCACCAUGGUGGUCUGCCAGUUUCAAGAUGGUAGAAUAAAAGUGUUUUUGCUUCCAUUAAAAAAAAAAAAAAAAAAAAACCUCCAAAAUGCUGGGGAUGUGAUUCAGAGUGCUUGCCUAGCAUGUGUGAGGUCCUGGGUUCAAUUCCCAGCAUUGGAAUUGAACCUCCAAACAAGUAGAACAAGAAAUGAAAGCAGAAGUACUGCAUAUGCAGUGCAUGGUGACACACGCCUGUAAUUCCAGCUACUUAGGAGGCUGAGGCAGGAGGAUGACAAGUUCAAGGCCAGCCUCAGCAACUUAGUGACGCUGUCCUGAAAUAAAACAAAAAGGGCUGGGAAUGAAGCUCAGUGGCAGAGUACAUGACUAGUGUGUGAGGUCCUGGGUUCCAUUCCCAGCAUUACACACACUCCCACACAAAUGGAGGUGGGUGGGGAACUGUAUAGAAAACCAGUAGACAACAGUAGCCCCUACUGGAAGUGGAGGGUACAGGGCAAAGCCUCCCAGCUGUUUCUGAUGAUGGUAGCCAUUAGGGUACUCACUGAGAAGCCUCAAGAUUAGACUUUAAAGACAGGAUUCUUUUUUUUUUUUGGUACUAGGGAUUGAACUCAGGUCCUUGUGCAUGCAAGGCAAGCACUCUACCAACUGAGCUGUAUCCCCUCAGGAUUCAUUUUAUGUUUCUUUAGGAUUUUUCUUCUUCCUCCACCAUCUCCUCUUCCUUUUCCUUCUCUUCUCACAUUUUUAUCCCCAGAGCUUAGCAUAGGACUUGGCCAAAUCAACUCCUCCUUAAGCGUUUGUUGAAUGAAUAACAUUGUUUUAUUGAUAUCAUAUAACACUUACCAGCAUAUGAGGACAUUAUUAAUAGAGGGAACUGUAAAAAUGUUUACUACAUUGCUAAGUGAAGCUUCCAUUCCUUCUAUUGGAGAGUGGGCCCUUCUAAACCCAUAGUCUGAGGAACAGAUUUCUUAGCAAUACCUUUGCCCUGAUAUUUAGCAUUUUGUUUCUUUGAGUAUUUAUUAACAUAUAUUUUUAUAUGUAGAUAUAUGUGUAUAUGUGUUGUGUGUGUACACAUAUUUGGUUUUUUUUGGGGGGGGUGGUGGUGCUGGGGAUGGAACCCAGAGCCUCACACAUUCUAGGCAAGGGCUCUACCACUGAACUAAACCCCCAGCCCAAGCUAUAUUUUUAAAUUCACAAAAUCUGCUCUUUCAUUAGCUCAGUUUUAGUCUUUCAUUAUUUUAACAUGAACUUGGUUCCCAUGGAGGUCAGGACUUGAUAAUUACAUUCAGCCUUUUGCAAUUAUUGGUAAGGAACCAGGUAACAGCACUGACAUUUAAUAUUUAAUUGUUUUUGAUCAGCAUUAAUUAGUCACAGAUGCACACCAGAUUCCCAUUUAAUUAAAUACUCUUGGGAACAUAUUGUGGGCUCAGGGAUUCUAACCACAUCAAAAACUAAACGUUCAACUUUAAAAGUUGGGCCCUGGAGACUCAGGCAUGCAUGGAGAGGAAAUUCCAGAUGUCUAGCAUUCCCUCUUUCCUCAGAAACAAACCUCCGACUUCUAGGUCCCUAAGACCUAAAAGCUUAGUGUCUCUUCUGGGAACUUGCAGGCUGCAGUCAUCUCCUGGGUCUUGAAUCACUGGUUUUGCCCUCUCCACUCCAUCGCUCUCCUCCCAGGCAAACAUGACUAAUUUCUCCCACCCUAAAAAACUCACUACUGGCCCCACCUUGUCUCAAGCUAUUGCCCCUUUUCUUUGUCCCCCUUUUGGAGAAAAACUCAGAAAGAUGUGUGCACUUGCUGCCGAUGAUCCCUCUCAUCCUAGCCUUACUCAAAUCCGCUGUCCUUUGGCUUUGACCACUUCAUAGCAACCAUCCUUGUCAAAGUCACCAACAUUACUGACUUGAUGCCAGAUCCAGCGGUCCAUUUUCCAUGCUCACUUACUUGACUCUAUUAAUUAUGUCCUUCUCUUGGAAUGCUCUCUUCAUUUGGUUUCAUUCCAUGAAACCAUCUUGUUGGUUUUCCUCCCAGUCAAGGUCAUUCCUUCUCAUUCUCCUUUGCCAACUCAUCCUCAUCUCCCAGCCUGUAAAUGUUAGACUGCCACAAGGCAGGUCCUUGGUUUCCCUCUCUUCCUUUACAUUCAUUCUUUGGGGGAUCUUUUUUGGCGGGGAGACACGAGGGGUACCAGGAAUCAAACUCAGGGGCACUGGACCACUGAGCCACACCCCCAGCCCUAUUUUGCAUUUUAUUUAGAGACAGGGUCUCACUGAAGUUGCUUAGCGCCUCGCUUUUGCUGAGGCUGGCUUUGAACUCUCAAUCUUCCUGUCUCAGCCUCCCAAUCCCUGAAAUUAGAGGGGUCAAACACCAUGCAACAGCUCUUUAGGGGAUCUUAGCAAAGC
rnacentral:tRNA from 1 species